rnacentral:rRNA from 1 species
CCCGCGUCUGAUUAGCUUGUUGGUGGGGUAACGGCCUACCAAGGCGACGAUCAGUAGCUGGUCUGAGAGGAUGAUCAGCCACACUGGGACUGAGACACGGCCCAGACUCCUACGGGAGGCAGCAGUGGGGAAUAUUGGACAAUGGGCGCAAGCCUGAUCCAGCCAUGCCGCGUGAGUGAUGAAGGCCUUAGGGUUGUAAAGCUCUUUUGUCCGGGNNACGAAUAAUGACGGUACCGGAAGAAUAAGCCCCGGCUAACUUCGUGCCAGCAGCCGCGGUAAUACGAAGGGGGCUAGCGUUGCUCGGAAUCACUGGGCGUAAAGGGCGCGUAGGCGGCCGAUUAAGUCGGGGGUGAAAGCCUGUGGCUCAACCACAGAAUUGCCUUCGAUACUGGUUGGCUUGAGACCGGAAGAGGACAGCGGAACUGCGAGUGUAGAGGUGAAAUUCGUAGAUAUUCGCAAGAACACCAGUGGCGAAGGCGGCUGUCUGGUCCGGUUCUGACGCUGAGGCGCGAAAGCGUGGGGAGCAAAC